GAUGAACGCUGGCGGCGUGCCUAAUACAUGCAAGUCGAGCGAACAGACGAGGAGCUUGCUCCUCUGACGUUAGCGGCGGACGGGUGAGUAACACGUGGAUAACCUACCUAUAAGACUGGGAUAACUUCGGGAAACCGGAGCUAAUACCGGAUAAUAUAUUGAACCGCAUGGUUCAAUAGUUAAAGACGGUUUUGCUGUCACUUAUAGAUGGAUCCACGCCGCAUUAGCUAGUUGGUAAGGUAACGGCUUACCAAGGCAACGAUGCGUAGCCGACCUGAGAGGGUGAUCGGCCACACUGGAACUGAGACACGGUCCAGAAUCCUACGGGAGGCAGCAGUAGGGAAUCUUCCGAAAUGGGCGAAAGCUUGACGGAGCAACGCCGCGUGAGUGAUGAAGGUCUUCGGAUCGUAAAACUCUGUUAUUAGGGAAGAACAAAUGUGUAAGUAACUAUGCACGUCUUGACGGUACCUAAUCAGAAAGCCACGGCUAACUACGUG
rnacentral:rRNA from 1 species